rnacentral:rRNA from 1 species
AACGAACGCUGGCGGCAUGCCUAACACAUGCAAGUCGAACGAGACCUCCGGGUCUAGUGGCGCACGGGUGCGUAACGCGUGGGAACCUGCCCUUAGGCUCGGAAUAACUCCCCGAAAGGGGUGCUAAUACCGGAUAAUGUCCUCGGACCAAAGAUUUAUCGACUUUGGAUGGGCCCGCGUUGGAUUAGCUGGUUGGUAGGGUAAAAGCCUACCAAGGCGACGAUCCAUAGCUGGUCUGAGAGGAUGAUCAGCCACACUGGGAGUGAGACACGGCCCGGACUCCUGCGGGAGGCAGCAGUGGGGGAUAUUGGACAAUGGGCGAGAGCCUGAUCCAGCAAGGCCGCGUGAGUGCUGAAGGCGUUAGGGUUGUAAAGCUCUUUUACCCGGGAUGAUAAUGACGGUACCGGGAGAAUAAGCACCGGCUAACUCCGUG